rnacentral:rRNA from 1 species
GUCUACGGCCAUGUCACCCUGAACAAGCCCGAUGUCUGAUCUCAGGAGCUAAGCAGGGUCAGGCCUGGUUAGUACUUAGACGGGAGACCACCUAGGAAGACCAGGUGCUGUAGGUA